AUUGAACGCUGGCGGCAGGCCUAACACAUGCAAGUCGAGCGGCAGCACGGGAAGCUUGCUUCCUGGUGGCGAGCGGCGGACGGGUGAGUAAUGCAUAGAAAUCUGCCCGGUAGUGGGGGGAUAACCUGGGGAAACCCAGGCUAAUACCGCAUACGUCCUACGGGAGAAAGCAGGGGAUCUUCGGACCUUGCGCUAUCGGAUGAGUCUAUGUCGGAUUAGCUUGUUGGUGAGGUAAUGGCUCACCAAGGCGACGAUCGGUAGCCGGACUGAGAGGUUGAACGGCCACAUUGGGACUGAGACACGGCCCAG
rnacentral:rRNA from 1 species